GUUAAGUAGCAAGGUUAAGCACUUAAGGUGCGGAGCCGUAGCGAAAGCGAGUUUUAACUGAGCGUUCAGUUACUUGACGUAGACCCGAAACCGGGCGACCUACCCAUGAGCAGGAUGAAGCGAAAGUAAAAUUUCGUGGAGGUCCGAACCCACGAGCGUUGAAAAGCUCGGGGAUGACUUGUGGGUAGCGGUGAAAUUCCAAUCGAGCCCGGAGAUAGCUGGUUCUCCCCGAAAUAGCUUUAGGGCUAGCCUCAAGGUGAGAGAUACGGAGGUAGAGCACUGAAUGUCCUAGGGGGUAUUGCACCUACCGAAGACUAUCAAACUCCGAAUGCCGUCAUCUUAUACUUGGGAGUCAGACUGUGGGUGAUAAGAUUCAUAGUCGAAAGGGCAACAGCCCAGAUCGUCAGCUAAGGUCCCUAAAUGUAAGUUAAGUGGUAAAGGAUGUGGGAUUGCACAGACAACCAGGAUGUUGGCUUAGAAGCAGCCACUCAUUCAAAGAGUGCGUAAUAGCUCACUGGUCGAGUGAUCCUGCGCCGAAGAUUUCCGGGGCUAAAACUUACUACCGAAGCUACGGCAUCAGUAAUGAUGGGUAGGGGAGCUUCCCAUACGGGUUGAAGCAUGACCGUAAGGACAUGUGGACAGUAUGGGAGUGAGAAUGUUGGCAUGAGUAGCGAGAUGUGGGUGAGAAUCCCACAGGCCGUAAACCCAAGGUUUCCAGGGGAAGGUUCGUCCGCCCUGGGUUAGUCGGGACCUAAGCUGAGGCCGAAAGGCGUAGGUGAUGGACAACAGGUUGAUAUUCCUGUACUACCGAUAACCGUUUGAGAGAUGGGAUGACACAGUAGGAUAAGCUAAGCACACUGUUGGUUAUGUGUGCCCAAGCAUUGAGGCAGUCAAAGUAGGUAAAUCCGCUUUGAUAAUGCUGGGAUGUGAUGGGGAGCGAAAUUUAGUAGCGAAGUAGCUGAUUUCACACUGUCAAGAAAAGUCUCUAUCGAGGUUAAAGGUACCCGUACCGCAAACCGACACAGGUGGGUGAGGAGAGUAUCCUAAGGCCAGCGAGAGAACUGUUGUUAAGGAACUCGGCAAAAUGACCCCGUAACUUAGGGAUAAGGGGUGCCACCAUCAGGUGGCCGCAGAGAAUAGGCCCAAGCGACUGUUUACCAAAAACAUAGGUUUCUGCUAAGUCGCAAGACGAUGUAUAGGAGCUGACGCCUGCCCGGUGCUGGAAGGUUAAGGGGAUCUGUUAGAGCAAUCGAAGCAGUGAACUUAAGCCCCAGUAAACGGCGGCCGUAACUAUAACGGUCCUAAGGUAGCGAAAUUCCUUGUCGGGUAAGUUCCGACCCGCACGAAAGGCGUAACGAUUUGGGCACUGUCUCAACAACAGACUCGGUGAAAUUGUAAUUCCGGUGAAGAUGCCGGAUACCUGCGACAGGACGGAAAGACCCCAUGGAGCUUUACUGUAGCUUGACAUUGGGUCUUGGUACUACAUGUACAGGAUAGGUGGGAGGCUUUGAAACCAGGACGCCAGUUUUGGCGGAGCCAUCCUUGGGAUACCACCCUUGUAGUACUGGGACUCUAACCAUAGGCCAUGAAUCUGGUCUUGGGACACUGUCAGGUGGGCAGUUUGACUGGGGCGGUCGCCUCCCAAAAGGUAACGGAGGCGCUCAAAGGUUCUCUCAGUACGGUCGGAAAUCGUACGUAGAGUGUAAAGGCAAAAGAGAGCUUGAUUGCAAGACAUACAGGUCGAGCAAGGAUGAAAAUCGGACUUAGUGAUCCGGUGGUUCUGCGUGGAAGGGCCAUCGCUCAACGGAUAAAAGCUACCCUGGGGAUAACAGGCUUAUCUCCCCCAAGAGUCCACAUCGACGGGGAGGUUUGGCACCUCGAUGUCGGCUCAUCACAUCCUGGGGCUGUAGUAGGUCCCAAGGGUUGGGCUGUUCGCCCAUUAAAGUGGUACGCGAGCUGGGUUCAGAACGUCGUGAGACAGUUCGGUCCCUAUCCGUCGCAGGCGUAGGAAAUUUGAGAAGACCUGUCCUUAGUACGAGAGGACCGGGAUGGACGUACCUCUGGUGUACCAGUUGUCCUGCCAAGGGCAUGGCUGGGUAGCUAUGUACGGAAUGGAUAAGCGCUGAAAGCAUCUAAGCGCGAAGCCAACUUCAAGAUAAGAUUUCCCACCGCAAGGGUAAGACCCCAGAAAGACUAUCUGGUUGAUAGGUCGAAGGUGUAAGUGCAGCAAUGUAUUUAGCUUAUCGAUACUAAUAGGUCGAGGACUUGACCAA
rnacentral:rRNA from 1 species